rnacentral:rRNA from 1 species
AGUGGCGGACGGGUGAGUAACGCGUGAGAAUCUGCCUUGGGGUCGGGGACAACCACUGGAAACGGUGGCUAAUACCGGAUAAGCCGAUUGGUGAAAGAUCUAUUGCCCGAAGAGGAGCUCGCGUCUGAUUAGCUAGUUGUGAGGUAAGAGCUCACCAAGGCAGCGAUCAGUAGCUGGUCUGAGAGGACGAUCAGCCACACUGGGACUGAGACACGGCCCAGACUCCUACGGGAGGCAGCAGUGGGGAAUUUUCCGCAAUGGGCGAAAGCCUGACGGAGCAAGACCGCGUGAGGGAGGAAGGCUCUUGGGUUGUAAACCUCUUUUCUCAGGGAAGAAGCUCUGACGGUACCUGAGGAAUCAGCCUCGGCUAACUCCGUGCCAGCAGCCGCGGUAAUACGGAGGAGGCAAGCGUUAUCCGGAAUUAUUGGGCGUAAAGCGUCCGCAGGUGGCGAUUCAAGUCUGCUGUCAAAGCACGGGGCUUAACUCCGUAAAGGCAGUGGAAACUGAAUAGCUAGAGUGCCGUAGGGGUAGAGGGAAUUCCCGGUGUAGCGGUGAAAUGCGUAGAGAUCGGGAAGAACAUCGGUGGCGAAAGCGCUCUACUGGACGGCAACUGACACUCAGGGACGAAAGCUAGGGGAGCGAAUGGGAUUAGAUACCCC